GCUUAACACAUGCAAGUCGAACGAGAUUUUAUUUCGGUAAAAUCUGAGUGGCGAACGGGUGAGUAACGCGUAGGCAACCUGCCCUCUAGACGGGGACAACAUUCCGAAAGGGAUGCUAAUACCGGAUGUGAUCCAUUUCCCGCAUGGAGAGGGAUGAAAGAUGGCCUCUAUUUAUAAGCCAUCGCUAGAAGAUGGGCCUGCGUCUGAUUAGCUAGUUGGUGGGGUAACGGCUCACCAAGGCGAUGAUCAGUAGCCGGUCUGAGAGGAUGAACGGCCACAUUGGGACUGAGACACGGCCCAGACUCCUACGGGAGGCAGCAGUGGGGAAUCUUCCGCAAUGGGCGAAACUUGACGGAGCAACGCCGCGUGAGUGAUGAAGGUCUUCGGACUGUAAAACUCUGUUGUCGGGGACGAAGGUGCGCUAUGGAACAGUUUAGCGUAUUGACGGUACCUGACGAGGAAGCCACGGCUAACUACGUGCCAGCAGCCGCGUAANACGUAGUAGCAAGCGUUGUCCGNNNNUAUUGGGCGUAAAGAGCAUGUAGGCGGACUUUUAAGUCUGGCGUGAAAAUGCGGGGCUCAACACGUAUGCGUUGGAUACUGGAAGCCUUGAGUGCAGUUGAGGAAAGGGGAUCCAGUGUAGCGUGAAAUGCGUAGAUAUGGAGACACAGUGCGAAGCGCUUUCUGGACUGUGUCUGACGCUGAGAUGCGAAACUAGGGUAGCAACGGAUAGAUACCCGUAGUCUAGCUGUAACGAUGGGUACUAGGUGUAGAGUAUCGACCCUCUGUGCCGGAGUUAACGCAUAAGUACCCCGCCUGGGGACUACGAUCGCAAGAUUGAAACUCAAAGGAAUUGACGGGGGCCGCACAAGCGGUGGAGUAUGUGGUUUAAUUCGACGCAACGCGAAGAACCUUACCAAGGCUUGACAUUGAGUGAAAGGCUUAGAGAUAAGCCCCUUCUCUUCGGAGGACACGAAAACAGGUGGUGCAUGGCUGUCGUCAGCUCGUGUCGUGAGAUGUUGGGUUAAGUCCCGCAACGAGCGCAACCCCUAUCCUAUGUUACCAGCGGGUAAUGCCGGGGACUCAUAGGAGACUGCCAGGGAUAACUUGGAGGAAGGCGGGGAUGACGUCAAGUCAUCAUGCCCCUUAUGUCUUGGGCUACACACGUACUACAAUGGUCGGAACAAAGGGUAGCGAAACCGCGAGGUGGAGCAAAUCCUAGAAAACCGAUCUCAGUUCGGAUCGCAGGCUGCAACCCGCCUGCGUGAAGUCGGAAUCGCUAGUAAUCGCAGGUCAGCAUACUGCGGUGAAUACGUUCCCGGGCCUUGUACACACCGCCCGUCACACCACGAAAGUUGGUAACACCCGAAGCCGGUGAGAUAACCUUUAUUGGAGUCAGCUGUCUAA
rnacentral:rRNA from 1 species